rnacentral:misc_RNA from 1 species
GGGUGGCAGAUUUUAAGAUUAAAAGAAAUGAAGGGUUGAGAUUAAAUUGGAUAAUUUUUUUUUCUUUAAAUCUUAUGAUAAAAAUUAAACCCCAAAAAUCAAUAAACAAAAUUAAGAUGUACAUAAUUUUGUCCAUAAUAUUUUCAACAAACUUUAUAUUCAAUGAUUGAAAUAAAACCUAAAAAAUUAAAUGUUAGGAUUAAAAGUGUCAUGACCUGACCUUUUAAUCAGAUCGGCGCUGGGUUAGUACCUAACAAUUAAACCCACCCAAUAACUAAAUCCAAAAUAGAGGGUUAACUCAAGAAAACAAAGUUCAGCGAUAAAUUAGAUAAUUCAACGAAGAAGAAAAACUCAAUUCAUAUCCAAUAUCAUAAUGGGAGCUCAACUAACCCUAUAAUCCAAUAUCACAAUUACAUAUUAAGUUUAUUAAAUUAAUUUUACAUCAU